rnacentral:tRNA from 1 species
GGUUCCGUAGCUCAGCUGGAUAGAGCAACAGACUUCUAAUCUGUGGGUCGGGGGUUCGAGUCCUCCCGGAAUCGCCA